AUUUAUAUAGUUUAAAUAAAACAUUAUAUUUUCAAUAUAAAAUUAAUUUUAUAAUUUAUAAAUU
rnacentral:tRNA from 1 species